UACGUAGGGUGCGAGCGUUGUCCGGAAUUAUUGGGCGUAAAGGGCUCGUAGGCGGUCUGUCGCGUCGGGAGUGAAAACUCAGGGCUUAACCCUGAGCCUGCUUCCGAUACGGGCAGACUAGAGGUAUGCAGGGGAGAAUGGAAUUCCUGGUGUAGCGGUGAAAUGCGCAGAUAUCAGGAGGAACACCAGUGGCGAAGGCGGUCUCUGGGCAUUACCUGACGCUGAGGAGCGAAAGUGUGGGGAGCGAACAGG
rnacentral:rRNA from 1 species